CUUUUACCUAUCGCAAAACUUAAUUCUUUGCGGAUUGGGAAGCAUACCAUGGCUACGCGCUUAAACUGUCCAGUUGCGUGCAUACUCAGGCUCGCCUGAGGGCGGGUGGUGGCCUAGGGUUUCAACGAACUUUACGUUAACCCUAGGUUGUCCCCGCCUAUGCUCAAUGCUGGGGUUCUCGGCUUGCCUUGAACUUACAGACCCCCCGUUAAACACGAACAUGACGGUCUAAUGGGGGUGUAGUAGCUCUAGUGGUUCUUCCUUAAUAACAUGAGCAGUACCGUUAUGUACGUUAAUGACUUGCUCUACACAGGGUGUGUGGCUUAGUGUAAACUUUGUAACGCUGUACUGAUGUAGAACUAGUUGUGCAUAUCUUGUUCAUUUAUUCAAUUGUCCUGACCUCGAUUCAAGCGUGAUUACCCGCUGAAUUUAAGCA
rnacentral:misc_RNA from 1 species